GCCGGGUGUGGUGGCGGGCACCUGUAAUCCCAACUACUCAGGAGGCUGAGGCAGGAGAAUUGCUUGAACCUGGGAGGCGGAGGUUGCAGUGAGCUGAGAUUGCGCCACUGCACUCCAGCCUGGGCAACAGAGCAAGACUCUGUCUCCA
rnacentral:SRP_RNA from 1 species